rnacentral:rRNA from 1 species
CAUGCAAGUCGAACGAGAAAGUUUCCUUCGGGAAGCGAGUAAAGUGGCGAACGGGAGAGUAACGCGUGGGAAAUCUGCCCUUCAGCGGGGGACAACAUCUCUAACGAGGUGCUAAUACCGCAUACGACCUAGGCUCCACAUGGCGCCCUGGUGAAAGAUGGCCCCUUCUUGAAAGCUGUCACUGAAGGAUGAUCCCGCGUCCCAUUAGCUUGUUGGUGGGGUAAUGGCCUACCAAGGCGACGAUGGGUAGCCGGCCUGAGAGGGUGUCCGGCCUCACUGGGACUGAGAUACGGCCCAGACUCCUACGGGAGGCAGCAGUCGAGAAGCUUCGGCAAUGGACGAAAGUCUGACCGAGCGACGCCGCGUGAGCGAUGAAGGUCCUAGUGAUCGUAAAGCUCUGUCAGGAGGGAAUAAAUGCCUGCGGUCAAUACCCGCAGGAGUUGAAGGUACCUCCAGAGGAAGCGCCGGCUAACUAUGUGCCAGCAGCCGCGGUAAUACAUAGGGCGCAAACGUUGUUCGGAUUUACUGGGUUUAAAGGGUUCGUAGGCGGGCUGAUAAGUCAGAGGUGAAAGCCAACGGCUCAACCGUUGAAUUGCCUCUGAUACUGUUAGUCUUGAGUCCGUUAGGGGAUGGUGGAAUUCCUGGUGUAGCGGUGAAAUGCGUAAAUAUCAGGAGGAACACCGGUGGCGAAGGCGGCCAUCUGGGACGGUACUGACGCUGAGGAACGAAAGCUAGGGUAUCAAACGGAAUUAGAUACCCCGGUAGUCCUAGCCGUAAACGAUGCGCACUAGGUGUUGGAGGAUUCUACCCCUUCAGUGCCGCAGCUAACGCAUUAAGUGCCCCACCUGGGGAGUACGAUCGCAAGGUUGAAACUCAAAGGAAUUGACGGGGGCCCGCACAAGCGGGUGGAGCAUGUGUUUAAUUCGAUGCAACAGCGAAGAACCUUACCUGGACUUGACAGCAGGUGUCAGCCGGGAAACACGGUCUCUCUUCGGAGCACCUGUGCAGGUGCUGCAUGGCUGUCGUCAGCUCGUGUCGUGAAAGUUGGGUUAAGUCCCGCAACGAGCGCAACCCUUGUCCUUAGUUGCCAUCAGGUUAUGCUGGGAACUCUAGGGAGACUGCCGGUGACAAACCGGAGAAGGUGGGGAGACGUCAAGUCAUCAUGGCCCUUACGUCCAGGGCUACACACUGCUACAAUGGCCGGUACAAUGGGCUGCGAAACCGCGAGGUUAAGCGAAUCCCAAAAAGCCGGUCUCAGUUCGGAUUACAGUCUGCAACUCGACUGUAUGAAGCUGGAAUCGCUAGUAAUCGCGCAUCAGAACGGCGCGGUGAAUACGUUCCCGGGCCUUGUACACACCGCCCGUCAAGUCAACCGAGUUGGUUGCACCCCAAGGUCGCUAGCCAACCUCUUCGGAGGAGGCAGGUGCCCAAGGUGUGAUUGCGAGGGGGGGACUAAGUCGUAACAAGGUGCCGUAUCGGAAGGUGCGGCUGAUCACCUCCUUUCU